rnacentral:rRNA from 1 species
UGGCUCAGGAUGAACGCUGGCGGCGUGCUUAACACAUGCAAGUCGAGCGAUGAAGUUUCCUUCGGGAAACGGAUUAGCGGCGGACGGGUGAGUAACACGUGGGUAACCUGCCUCAUAGAGUGGAAUAGCCUUCCGAAAGGAAGAUUAAUACCGCAUAAUGUUGAAAGAUGGCAUCAUCAUUCAACCAAAGGAGCAAUCCGCUAUGAGAUGGACCCGCGGCGCAUUAGCUAGUUGGUGGGGUAACGGCCUACCAAGGCGACGAUGCGUAGCCGACCUGAGAGGGUGAUCGGCCACAUUGGGACUGAGACACGGCCCAGACUCCUACGGGAGGCAGCAGUGGGGAAUAUUGCACAAUGGGGGAAACCCUGAUGCAGCAACGCCGCGUGAGUGAUGAAGGUUUUCGGAUCGUAAAGCUCUGUCUUUGGGGAAGAUAAUGACGGUACCCAAGGAGGAAGCCACGGCUAACUACGUGCCAGCAGCCGCGGUAAUACGUAGGUGGCGAGCGUUAUCCGGAUUUACUGGGCGUAAAGGGAGCGUAGGCGGAUGAUUAAGUGGGAUGUGAAAUACCCGGGCUCAACUUGGGUGCUGCAUUCCAAACUGGUUAUCUAGAGUGCAGGAGAGGAGAGUGGAAUUCCUAGUGUAGCGGUGAAAUGCGUAGAGAUUAGGAAGAACACCAGUGGCGAAGGCGACUCUCUGGACUGUAACUGACGCUGAGGCUCGAAGCGUGGGGAGCAAACAGGAUUAGAUACCCUGGUAGUCCACGCCGUAAUCGAUGAAUACUAGGUGUGGGGGUUUCAACACCUACGUGCCGCCGCUAACGCAUUAAGUAUUCCGCCUGGGGAGUACGGUCGCAAGAUUAAAACUCAAAGGAAUUGACGGGGACCCGCACAAGUAGCGGAGCAUGUGGUUUAAUUCGAAGCAACGCGAAGAACCUUACCUACACUUGACAUCCCUUGCAUUACUCUUAAUCGAGGAAAUCCCUUCGGGGACAAGGUGACAGGUGGUGCAUGGUUGUCGUCAGCUCGUGUCGUGAGAUGUUGGGUUAAGUCCCGCAACGAGCGCAACCCUUGUCGUUAGUUACUACCAUUAAGUUGAGGACUCUAGCGAGACUGCCUGGGUUAACCAGGAGGAAGGUGGGGAUGACGUCAAAUCAUCAUGCCCCUUAUGUGUAGGGCUACACACGUGCUACAAUGGCUGGUACAGAGAGAUGCAAUACCGCGAGGUGGAGCCAAACUUAAAAACCAGUCUCAGUUCGGAUUGUAGGCUGAAACUCGCCUACAUGAAGCUGGAGUUACUAGUAAUCGCGAAUCAGAAUGUCGCGGUGAAUACGUUCCCGGGUCUUGUACACACCGCCCGUCACACCAUGAGAGUUGGCAAUACCCGAAGUCCGUGAGCUAACCGCAAGGAGGCAGCGGCCGAAGGUAGGGUCAGCGAUUGGGGUGAAGUCGUAACAAGGU